UACCUCAUAGUAUGUGAGGGAUGGCAUCUAUUUCACAUUAAAGUCACAACGGCAAAAAGAUGAGCAUGCGUCCCAUUAGCUAGUUGGUAAGGUAACGGCUUACCAAGGCUACGAUGGGUAGGGGUCCUGAGAGGGAGAUCCCCCACACUGGUACUGAGACACGGACCAGACUCCUACGGGGAGGCAGCAGUGAGGAAUAUUGGACAAUGGGCGCAAGCCUGAUCCAGCCAUGCCGCGUGCAGGAAUAAGGUCCUAUGGAUUGUAAACUGCUUUUAUACAGGAAGAAACACACCCUCGUGAGGGUACUUGACGGUACUGUAUGAAUAAGGACCGGCUAACUACGUG
rnacentral:rRNA from 1 species